rnacentral:rRNA from 1 species
GCAUGGAGAGCCCAUUAAAGAGAGCAAUUUUGGUUACAGACGAGCAUGCGCUCCAUUAGCCAGUUGGCGGGGUAACGGCCCACCAAGGCGACGAUGGAUAGGGGUUCUGAGAGGAAGGUCCCCCACAUUGGAACUGAGACACGGUCCAAACUCCUACGGGAGGCAGCAGUGAGGAAUAUUGGUCAAUGGUCGGCAGACUGAACCAGCCAAGUCGCGUGAGGGAAGACGGCCCUACGGGUUGUAAACCUCUUUUGUCGGAGAGUAAAGUACGCUACGCGUAGCGUAUUGCAAGUAUCCGAAGAAAAAGCAUCGGCUAACUCCGUGCCAGCAGCCGCGGUAAUACGGAGGAUGCGAGCGUUAUCCGGAUUUAUUGGGUUUAAAGGGUGCGUAGGCGGCACGCCAAGUCAGCGGUGAAAUUUCCGGGCUCAACCCGGAGUGUGCCGUUGAAACUGGCGAGCUAGAGUGCACAAGAGGCAGGCGGAAUGCGUGGUGUAGCGGUGAAAUGCAUAGAUAUCACGCAGAACCCCGAUUGCGAAGGCAGCCUGCUAGGGUGCGACAGACGCUGAGGCACGAAAGCGUGGGUAUCGAACAGGAUUAGAUACCCUGGUAGUCCACGCAGUAAACGAUGAAUACUAACUGUUUGCGAUACAAUGUAAGCGGUA